AAAGUAGUUAAUAAAUAGAUGGAUAGUCUAAAUCAGAAACAGUUGAGGCUGGUCUAUAUAGUCUUAUUAAUUGCCCUUGUCCUAUUCAGUGCUAACAAUAUUUUCCACCAACUCAGUGAAGUCGAUGGGGGACAUUAUUAUGAAUAGGAAGAGAUUCACUUGUUUCUUUGGCUUUCUCUUGGCAUUUGGUAUUUUAUGGGCUGGGUGUUUAUAUUUUUUUUGGCAUCUAUUGGUCAUAUAAUGUGGGGCAAGAAUGGUUCUGUUCCUGCUGUCCCCUUUGUGGAGAAACUGCAGCAUCAAAAAUGACAGCUUCCCAGGGUUCAGCUGGCCAGCAGUCACUGACCAUCCCUAAGAUGUCACAGCAGUGGCUGGUGGAAUUGUGAGGUAUGGUGUCCUUAAAAGGGAAUGUGGAGGCAAGAUCAGGAGGCAGCAGACAGAGGUGGUGGACCAGUAAGGAAGGGUGAGUGAAGCAGAAGAGGAAGAUGACAAGACACAGCAGGGACUAGGAGAGUGGCUGAGGAAGGCUUGUGGAGAGGAACAGGCCCAUGUGAGGAGGCAGGAAGAACCAAAUACAGAGGCACGGCAUUAUUGGCAUGGCUCUGCCUUCACCGAAGACAGAGCACCAGGCAGAACUGUCUCAGGGCCACCUUCAACAACAGUGGAGCAGCAGAGUCCCAACAAAAGUAUUCUGUGCAGGGGCCUACUGGAAUGCUAAAGAAGGAAGCUAGAACUACCUGGUGGAAUAACUUCAUCCAGAAAGUGAUCUCAAAACUCUGACUGGCACAUUUGGAGAAAACAUGUUCGGCUGGAGCCAUUUUAUGAUUUCUGCUGUGGCUUUGGAUUCUCAGGAACUAAUCAAUCACAGGCAAUUGCUGCUGGUUUAGGCAUCCUUACAGCAGGACCGGGUGAACAGCACACAGCAUAAGUGGCUAUCUCAAGUUAAUUGGAACUUGAAAGAGAGAGGCUGACCUGAAUGUUACCGUUUGUAAUCUGGAAGGCUAUGGAAAGAAAUCGCAAAGGAGGCUCUUCAUCUUAUCUUCCUGCAAUUUGAAUCUGAAAUAAAGGAGUUAGCGCCGAUAAAAUAGAUUCA
rnacentral:lncRNA from 1 species